rnacentral:rRNA from 1 species
GGGUUGUGAGGUUAAGCGACUAAGCGUACACGGUGGAUGCCCUGGCAGUCAGAGGCGAUGAAGGACGUGCUAAUCUGCGAUAAGCGUCGGUAAGGUGAUAUGAACCGUUAUAACCGGCGAUUUCCGAAUGGGGAAACCCAGUGUGUUUCGACACACUAUCAUUAACUGAAUCCAUAGGUUAAUGAGGCGAACCGGGGGAACUGAAACAUCUAAGUACCCCGAGGAAAAGAAAUCAACCGAGAUUCCCCCAGUAGCGGCGAGCGAACGGGGAGCAGCCCAGAGCCUGAAUCAGUGUGUGUGUUAGUGGAAGCGUCUGGAAAGGCGCGCGAUACAGGGUGACAGCCCCGUACACAAAAAUACACAUACUGUGAGCUCGAUGAGUAGGGCGGGACACGUGGUAUCCUGUCUGAAUAUGGGGGGACCAUCCUCCAAGGCUAAAUACUCCUGACUGACCGAUAGUGAACCAGUACCGUGAGGGAAAGGCGAAAAGAACCCCGGCGAGGGGAGUGAAAAAGAACCUGAAACCGUGUACGUACAAGCAGUGGGAGCACAGAGCAAUCUGUGUGACUGCGUACCUUUUGUAUAAUGGGUCAGCGACUUAUAUUCUGUAGCAAGGUUAACCGAAUAGGGGAGCCGAAGGGAAACCGAGUCUUAACUGGGCGUUAAGUUGCAGGGUAUAGACCCGAAACCCGGUGAUCUAGCCAUGGGCAGGUUGAAGGUUGGGUAACACUAACUGGAGGACCGAACCGACUAAUGUUGAAAAAUUAGCGGAUGACUUGUGGCUGGGGGUGAAAGGCCAAUCAAACCGGGAGAUAGCUGGUUCUCCCCGAAAGCUAUUUAGGUAGCGCCUCGUGAAUUCAUCUCCGGGGGUAGAGCACUGUUUCGGCAAGGGGGUCAUCCCGACUUACCAACCC